rnacentral:rRNA from 1 species
CCUACGGGAGGCAGCAGUGGGGAAUUUUGCACAAUGCUCGUAAGAGUGACGCAGCGACGCCGCGUGAAUGACGAAGGCCUUCGGGUCGUAAAGUUCUUUCGACAGGGAAGAAAAUGCAUAUAAGUAACUGUGUAUGUAUUGACGGUACCUGUAUAAGCAGCCCCGGCUAACUCCGUGCCAGCAGCCGCGGUAAUACGGAGGGGGCGAGUGUUGUUCGGAGGGACUGGGCGUAAAGAGCACGUAGGCGGUGUUGUAAGUCAUUAGUCAAAGACUAGAGCUCAACUUUAGUAAGGCUAGUGAUACUAUAAUACUAGAGUAUCAGAGAGGAUUGCAGAAUUCCUGGUGUAGCGGUGAAAUGCGUAGAUAUCAGGAGGAAUACCGUUAGCGAAGGCGGCAAUCUGGCUGGAAACUGACGCUGAGGUGCGAAAGCGUGGGUAGCAAACAGGAUUAGAUACCCGUGUAGUC